rnacentral:rRNA from 1 species
UACGAGGGGGGCUAGCGUUGUUCGGAUUUACUGGGCGUAAAGCGCACGUAGGCGGCUUUGUAAGUUAGAGGUGAAAGCCCGGGGCUCAACCCCGGAAUUGCCUUUAAGACUGCAUCGCUUGAAUCCAGGAGAGGUGAGUGGAAUUCCGAGUGUAGAGGUGAAAUUCGUAGAUAUUCGGAAGAACACCAGUGGCGAAGGCGGCUCACUGGACUGGUAUUGACGCUGAGGUGCGAAAGCGUGGGGAGCAAACAGG